CACCGUUCAAUACGAGCAGGAAUUUCUUCAGGGAUCUGCUCAUCUUCUCUUCUUCACUUGAUACUUGGUUAUUACUAAUGUCGGUCUCCAUCUUUGCAAGCCAGUAUCCGCUCUCUCAUGAAGCACAAUUCACAGAAUGGAUCCUGACGGCGAUAUUGCAAAAGUUCUCUAUAACAGGCUUAUUUGUACCUCUUUGAACAAGAUUUUCUAGGCUCCCACCACCUCAAAAUCAAAGAACCCCAGA
rnacentral:misc_RNA from 1 species